CAGAGCCCCGCUGCCCAGGAACCCCUCCCACUGGUUCUCAAAACUCUCUGGUGAUUGGAAUUGAAGCCAUCUUGAGUAAGAAGGUCCCACUGGAAAGAAAUUCAAUGGCACCUGAUUAAUUCUGAAAAGAGCCCAGCCAGAGGGGAGACCCCAGCGAGCGAGCAAGACUCCUCUGACCCAUCCCAGUUUGGCACGACGCACUCAGCACUUUCUACCAGGACUCACGCGGCUGUGUGCUCCAGAGACAAGACUGUAACAUUACCCGCAGGCCCUGCUCUGCUGUGCUGGCUGGACGCCAGGCCUCCUACCAGAAACCAAAUGUCAAGGCGAAAUGGAGGCAUCUGUCCUGGAUCCCCUCCCCACCUCCUGCUUGGAGUUGUAGCGGGUGGCCUGUAAGUGAAUCCAACAGGCUUUGUGGGGUGAUGAGUGGGUUUGGCCCAAUGAGCGGGCACCCUUUCUCCCUGGGACAGGCCAGGGCAGGGCUCGAUGUCAGGGAAGCUGGCCCUCUGAUGCGAGCAGGCGUGCAAAGGUGCUUUGUCGAUGAUAAAGCAUUGAAAAAUCUGAGUUCAGGCCGGGCGCGGUGGCUCAUGCCUGUCAUCCCAACAUUUUAAGAGGCUGAGGUGGGCA
rnacentral:lncRNA from 1 species